CGCGGCCUAUCAGCUUGUUGGUGAGGUAAUGGCUCACCAAGGCGACGACGGGUAGCCGGCCUGAGAGGGUGACCGGCCACACUGGGACUGAGACACGGCCCAGACUCCUACGGGAGGCAGCAGUGGGGAAUAUUGCACAAUGGGCGAAAGCCUGAUGCAGCGACGCCGCGUGAGGGAUGACGGCCUUCGGGUUGUAAACCUCUUUCAGUAGGGAACAAGGCCAGCAUUUUUGUUGGUUGAGGGUACUUGCAGAAGAAGCGCCGGCUAACUACGUGCCAGCAGCCGCGGUAAUACGUAGGGCGCAAGCGUUAUCCGGAAUUAUUGGGCGUAAAGAGCUCGUAGGCGGUUUGUCGCGUCUGCCGUGAAAGUCCGGGGCUCAACCCCGGAUCUGCGGUGGGUACGGGCAGACUAGAGUGAUGUAGGGGAGACUGGAAUUCCUGGUGUAGCGGUGAAAUGCGCAGAUAUCAGGAGGAACACCGAUGGCGAAGGCAGGUCUCUGGGCAUUAACUGACGCUGAGGAGCGAAAGCAUGGGGAGCGAACAGGAUUAGAUACCCUGGUAGUCCAUGCCGUAAACGUUGGGCACUAGGUGUGGGGGACAUUCCACGUUUUCCGCGCCGUAGCUAACGCAUUAAGUGCCCCGCCUGGGGAGUACGG
rnacentral:rRNA from 1 species